GAUGAAGAACGUAGCGAAAUGCGAUAAGUAAUGUGAAUUGCAGAAUUCAGUGAAUCAUCGAAUCUUUGAACGCACAUUGCGCCCGCCAGUAUUCUGGCGGGCAUGCCUGUCUGAGCGUCAUUUCAACCCUCAUGCCCCUAGGGCGUGGUGUUGGGGAUCGGCCAAAGCCCGCGAGGGACGGCCGGCCCCUAAAUCUAGUGGCGGACCCGUCGUGGCCUCCUCUGCGAAGUAGUGAUAUUCCGCAUCGGAGAGCGACGAGCCCCUGCCGUUAAACCCCCAACUUUCCAAGGUUGACCUCAGAUCAGGUAGGAAUACCCGCUGAACUUAAGCAUAUCGAUAAGCGGAGGA
rnacentral:misc_RNA from 1 species